rnacentral:lncRNA from 1 species
AAGCUGCUAUUCAUGAUGGGGUCGAUAUCCUCUCCGUGUCACUUGGAUCCGGUCAGGAAGAAUACAUUACUGAUGGGAUUGCAAUUGGAGCAUUUCUUGCUAUGGAGCGCGGGAUUCUUGUGGUUGCCUCGGCUGGAAAUAAAGGACCUGACCCUGGAGUCGUUGGGAAUGUAGCUCCCUGGAUUCUUACAGUUGCUUGUAGCACUAUCAGUAGGGAAUUCACAUCUAAUGUCAUCCUCGGAAAUAACAAACAAUACAAGGUUCGUUCUGUAAGCUCAUAUCUUUAGCAAGUCCUUGUAAAUUGUUCUACCUAUCAUGGGAUCCAAGAAUUUGCUAUAUUAAUUUCUAGAUAAUCAGGGUAUGAGUUUUAAUACCAACACUCAACCAGCUGGGAAGUUUUACCCCUUGAUCAAUUCGGUGGAUGCUAAAGCUGCCAAUGUUUCCAGUAAUCAAGCGUAAGCAGCAAACUAAUUUUGUUCUCAGCCAAAAUUACAUUUUCUGUAGUUGUUAGGUUCAUAUUUCUUAUCUUGUUGUCUUUGGCAGAAAAUAUUGCUCCAUCGGAUCCCUUGACCCCUUGAAAGUUAAAGGAAAAAUCGUAUAUUGUACUCGCAACGAAGAUCCUGAUGUAGAAAAGAGUCUGGUUGUUUCUCAAGCUGGUGGUGUUGGGGUGAUACUUGCUAACCGAUUGAUAAUUCAACAAAUCCGACCUCGGGCACACUUUGUUCCUACUUCCGUUGUCUCUGCAGACGAUGGACUUUCCAUUUUAACUUAUGUCUAUAGUACAAAGUAAGGUCUACGUUAAUAGAUAAUUCAGACAAUUAAACUCGGUUGAUUUCAGUCGAUAAUGCCCUGAACAAUCUAUCGUUUGUGAUCCUGUGAAUCUCUUGGAACUUCUCUUUUCACUCAGGUCACCUGUAGCUUACAUAAGUGGCGCCACGGAGGUGGGAACAGCGGCUGCACCUGUCAUGGCUGAUUUUUCAUCUCCUGGGCCUAACUUCAUCACCCCAGAGAUCCUUAAGGUACGUACUCUUAACAGUUUCACAUGAGCGUUUUAAAAUAUUAUUUUUAUAGUGAGAGUGCAUGUGAUGAUUUCAGCCCGACAUCACUGCACCUGGAGUCAAUAUUCUAGCUGCUUACACAGGAGCAUCAGGGCCAACUGAUGUGCCAGGAGACCGGCGACGAGUACAUUUCAACUUUAUAUCUGGAACCUCAAUGGCAUGCCCCCAUGUUUCCGGAAUCGCAGGUCUUCUCAAGACUAUGCACCCUGAGUGGAGUCCUGCUGCAAUUAAAUCUGCAAUCAUGACAACGGGUUAGUGCUUUUCUGCUCUUCGCAUUAGCAUCUCCAAGUUAUUGUUGGACGAGUCAUUGAUAGCUUGAGUGGUUGCUUAUGACAUUUCAGCGACAACGAUCAGUAAUGUGAAGCAGCCUAUUGCAAAUGCUUCUCUUCUUGAGGCAAACCCAUUGAAUUAUGGUGCCGGGCACAUCUGGCCUAGCCGUGCAAUGGACCCAGGCCUGGUCUAUGACCUAACGACUAAAGAUUACGUGAAUUUUCUAUGCUCCAUUGGCUAUAAUUCAACCCAGUUGUCACUUUUUAUUGGUAAGCCAUACAUAUGCCCGUCGCAGAACAAUGGUCUGCUGGAUUUCAACUAUCCAUCCAUUACUGUCCCGAAUCUCUCAAGCAAUAAGACCACGUUGUCCCGAACCUUGAAGAACGUGGGGACUCCAAGCUUGUAUAGAGUUAAUAUCAGGGCACCUGGAGGCAUAUCUGUGAAGGUUGAGCCAAGAAGCUUGAAGUUCGAUAAGAUAAACGAAGAGAAAAUGUUCAAGGUCACUCUAGAGGCCAAGAAAGGGUUUAAGAGUAAUGACUAUGUGUUUGGAGAGAUAACCUGGUCUGAUGGGAAACACCAUGUGAGGAGUCCUGUUGUGGUGAAGAAGAUGGAAGUAGCAGCCUAAGGUUGAAGGACACUGACCAGGCGUCUGGAUUUGUAGGUGGAAGGCCAGCGUGUAGAGAUCUAUAUAUCUCCAUGGUCACCAAAUCGAUCUUCAAAUUCCCGUUCCAUGUCAUGACAAGUAUCGAAUGUCACCAAAUCGUGUCAUUUUUUUUAUGCCACUAAUCUAGUGAUUGAACUAAGAAAAUAAAAAUAAAAAUAAAUGGUUUUGUUUUAGAAUAUUUUGGAAUGGUUUUUGGUUUUUAUCUACUCUAUUGAUUUUGUUUAGUUGCUUUAGUAUUUUUGUUUUUCUAUUUUUAUGUUAUUUAUGGCUCUGUUUUUUACCUUUUGUUGUGUGACAACUGAUUAGGUUACUGUACAUUAAGUUUUUUGAGAGUGUAGGUAAUGCUUGGAAGCCUUGCUUGCCAUCUUUCAUUUAUUAACAAAAUCUUAUGAUAAAGACAUUCAAUUGUCAUAUCCCUCAAUUGGAGAACAAAAGGAUAUCCAUACAUUUUGUAGGUGUCAAAAAAUAUGAAAGAUCUAUUUAUGUUAUUUAUUUACCUUAGUUUUUUUUUAGGCUUAAUAAUUCUAUCUAGAAAAAUUAUUUCUAGUAUCUAAUUAAUAACAUAUUGCACUGCGAUUAAGCUAACAAUGAAUGAAUUCCCACAAAGAUUUAUCUACCUAUCGUGGCUUUUUUUUUCUUCUCUUUAGGGUUCAUAAUUUUACCCAAGAAAAUCACAUAUUGCAUUACAAUUAAGUUAAUGAUGAAUGAAUUCCUACAAAGACCUUUUACCGAAGAAUGUGACCAUCUUAAGAGGUAGUAUAACAUCAUAAUUUUCUAAAAUAUCUUAGGUGUUGUUUUUGAACAAGUAUAUCCAAUUCAAACAUAAUAGUAAUAUAUAUUAUUUGGAAAAUUCUACGUUCAAUUUGUUCUUUGUCACUUAACUUUUUUUAUUCUUAAUUUAAUCAUUUCACAUUAAAUUAAUUUAGGAUUGAGUUUAAUGUUUUAUUUCAGUUGGGCUCUAGCGAUAUUAAUAAUAAGUUUUGACGUUAAGUUGAAGAUUAAUUUGGUAAAAUAAAAUUUAAAUUUAUUGAUUCAAAUCAAUUAAAAUGUCAACGACUUAAUUUUAAACUGUAAAUACUCAGUCUUUUUUUCUUUAAAAAAUAAUAUUUUUAUUUCAACUUUCUAACUCAAUUUUUAAUUGAAACUAACAUAUAUAACGCAUGAAUACAUCAAACUACAGCAACAAAAGAGCAGUCUUUUGUUGUAGAGUAUGAACAUAAAAUUAAACAGUCUUCUCUAAUUUAGAGCAUAAAAUGAAAUCGAUGUGCUAAUAGCUAACCAUAAACAGACAUAUUGAGGAAUUAAACUGCUGGCAUGGUCAUACCCUCCUGUUGAUAUAAUUGGGUCAAAUGGAAUAUUUAUUUUAAGCAAAAGCAAGAAAAAAGUAGUCUAAAAUAUGAUAAAGUAGUAGUAGUUGUGUUAAGCAAAAAGGAAGAAAUGUUGUCUUAUCAUCCCACGUUUUUGCCUGCAUGGACCGACGGAUCGCCUGCGAGAAGAAUGCUUUUUUUUUUUUAAAGCAUUCUUCUCAUAGGCGAUCCGUCGGUCUAUGCUUGAACAUGUAAGAAAAGUAAACCUAAUGUAUUCUCAGAUCUUUUAUUAUUAUUAUUAUAAAGAAUAAGUUUGAACUCCAUCUUUUUCUAAAAGAAAGGAGAUACCAAUACUAUUACAAAGAAAAAAAAUGAUUGGGAUUUUGAAAUUACUGUAUACCUAGACAUAAUGUAUUGUAAACGGAACAAUAUAAUUAUGUUUUUGCCUUUAUAUAUAGAAAAAAAAAAAACAUUAGACUAGCUAUUGGGAGUAAUACUGAAUUUUUUCAUGGACCAUGUGUUCAUUAUUAUAUUUAUUAGGGACAAUGCAGUCUGUUUACAUUUUUAUAGAACAAUGUAAUGACUAGAAUAACCUUAAAAUCAAAAUAAUUUUAUCUGAAUUUAGAGAUUGACUUGUUUUUUCAUUUUUAUAUGUAUAAUGAGUCUACAUACUUAACCUUGGAUGCAAAUUUUAUUAAACUUGGGAUCGAGGGCUUCUUUGUAUUUUCAUCAUUAUUUUUUAGUUAUAAUAUGGUCAAGUUUGGGGUAACUUGGUAUUUUAGUAAGUGUAAGAAAUAUUUUUUUUUUAAAAAAUGAUUGACGUGUACAACACACACAUUAACGUGUUAGGCGGCAUAUGCGGAUUUAUAUGGUGUUAGAAAAUGGCCAUCCGUGACGGUUAACAAUCCUCUUGGCAUCCCUUUUCUGAUGAAGUGGCGGCGUGUGCAGCGGUGUGGCUCCUACCACUUUUUUUUUUCUUCUCACUUCUCCUUGAAAAACAAGUUACCCAAUCAAAAAUCUAUGUUUUCCUUUUAAUUUUUUUUUUUUAAGUUUAUGAUUUAGUUCCCUUUUGAUUAUCUUAUUUUCAUUUUGAUUUUUUUUGAAAACUUUAAAUUUUUUAUUUAUUUUGCCUUUAAUUUAAAUGUUAUUUUUAUUUCAUGUUUGAUUCUCUUUCUUUUGAUUUCUUAUUUAUGUAUUGAUUUUAUUUUUUUUGUAAAAUGUAAGAUUUUUUUCAAAUUCAGCCUAAAAUCAAACAAUGUUAUUUUUAUGCUUUGUCUGUUUUUGUUUAACAUUUGAUCUUUAUUAUUUUAUAUUGCUAUUUUAUUUUAUGGAACCUUUUGUCAAAUUAUUUUUUUUUCUUUCAAUUUCAUCCCUCAAUCUUGGGUUGGUUAGUUAGAAAUUGAGGGUCAUGGUUUUUUUCUAUUGAGUUACACCAGUUUCAUGACUCUGGUAAAAAAUUUAAAAGUUUGGGUCAACUUGGGUGGUGUCGACUUUUUUCCCCUCUUUUUACACUAAUUUCCUUUUAGUUUUACUCCUUUAAUACUUUAGAUUUGUGAAGUUAUUCGUGUUUUCUUCAAACUCAUUUUUAAAAUCUAACUAGAUUUAUUUCACUCCAUUAUCAUGGUCUCUUGACCUUGAUAGUAAGUUUUUCUAUUUACUUAGGGAUCGCUCUACGUUUUUCUUUUGGAGUUAUCUUUUUAAAAUUGAUUAUUUUUUUCUAGUUUAGUUGUUCAUUAUUUUUUUUUGCAUUUAGGCUCCGUUUGUUUGCAGGAAAGUGAAUUCCUUUUGGAAAGUGAAUUCCGGGAAAGUAUUUUCCGAUGUUUGGUAGUGUUAUGGAAAAUGAAUUGGAAAACACUUUCCAGUGUUUGGUUAUGUCAUGGAAAAUGAGCUGGAAAAUAACUUAUUAAUAUUUUAUUUUUUUCAAGUUUAUUAAAAUAAUGAGGAACAAAUCUUACAAAUUAAAAAGUUGAAUGAUAAUGAAAUUGAAAAAAAUAUAUAAUUUCAUAAAUUAUCUCAAAUAAAACAAAUAAUAAUCAAAAUAAUAGGGGUCAAAUCUAAAAAAUUAAAAAAAAAAUGAAAAAUGAAGAAAUUAAAAUAAUAAUAAUCAACAUUUCAUAAAUUAUUUCAAAUAAAAUAAGUAACAAUCAAAAGAAUGAGGAUCAAAUUUGAUAAAUAAAAAAUUUCAAUAAAAAAAUGAUAAGAAAAAAGCAAAUACAAUUAUAAAAAUAAGGACCAAAGUUAAUAUAAAAAUAAAAUUUUAAGAGAUGAAAUUGAAAAAUAAAUAUUCAAAACAAAAUAUAUAUAGUAAUCAAAAGUUUGAGGAUCAAAUUUGAUAUAAUCAGCAAAUAAUGGCAUUUCUAAAUUUUUCACAACUUCCGGAAAGUGUUUUCCCCUCAAAUUUUUCAGGAAAACACUUUCCUGAAAACCAAGCCAAAUUUUCCUUUUACUGGAAAGUGUUUUCCAUUGACCAACUUUCCUACUGGCAAAUAAACACAAGAAAGUUUGGAAAGUGCUUUCCCGGAAACCACUUUCCGGAAAACAAACACAGAUAAAAGGAAAACACUUUCCUGAAAACCAAGUCAAUUUUUUUUUUGACUAAAAUUGACUGGAAAGUGUUUUCCGUUGACCGGAAAGUGUUUUCCGUUGACUAGAAAGUGUUUUCCGCUGACCGGAAAUUGUUUUCCGUUGACCAACUUUUCUAAUGACAAACAAACACAAGAAAGUUUGGAAAAUGGUUUCCCGGAAACUACUUUCCGAGAAACAAACAAGUCCUUAGCUUCAUAAAUUUGGGAAAAUGAUGAUUUUUUAAAAUAAAAAAAAUACUUUUAUACAUAUAUAUGCAUUUAUAUUAUUUCUUAAAAAAGUGUUAAAAUUAGAACGACAAUUUAUAAUACUUCAAACAUGUUAUUGUUUCAUAGCUCAUCGAACUAGAUAUAUGUUAUAAUAUCUUAAUUACCAGCAUAGAUCAAUCUUAAUUAUAAUCCACCAUAAGUACAAUAACAUGAACAGGCCAUGAAUUAUGACACGGUGGUCUGCAACUGUAUCCUUCUGCUCUUUUGCUCUUCUUUUUCUCGACAAGUAAUUGUUGAGUGGGUCUUUGUAGCCAGAAACCAACACUUUCUUUUGGGUGUGUGUAUAUAUAUAUUUUAUACUAUACCGCAAGUCUUGGAGACAAUCUUCCACUUUAUUAGCCAUAUAUUUGUGGGUUCCAUAUAAAUUCAACAAGAUCAAUGGCAAUUAGGAUUAUGUUUUGUUAAUAGAUUAAAUAGAUAAUUUGAUUCACGUCAUUUGUCUCUCAAUAUUAGAAUUAAUUACUCGGUUGAUUCUGAAAUUUAAUGAUAACUUUACGGAGUUAAUCUAAUGGUUAAGAAAUCAUGCUUUUAUCUUUAUUUUUUCAGCUAAACAUUUGGAAUUAACAUUCUAAAAAAUCCAUUAAAUUUCUUUAAAUAUAUCGAAUCGAUGUAUUUUUUUUUAAAGAAAAACUUAGUUUUAAUACUGGACACGCUAAAAAAAUAGGGUUUAAAUACUAUGGUGCACAACUUUGAUAAAUGUCGUUAUGAAAAAGCUUAUGCUGUCCACCUUUUCGACAAGCAUGAUACUCCUUUAAUCUUCUUUUCUAAGUAAAACAGGACACCACAGUUCCAUUUAUUUUUCCUUUUUGCUCCAAAAGACAGCUUACAAAGCCCUCCUCUCAUCAAAAGAGGAAGUAAAGUAAGAAGAAAAGGGAGAAAACAACAAUAAUCCCGAUGAUAAAGGGCCUAGCUAGCUACAGUACUGUUCCGUUUUAGGUUCCAGUCUUCUAUCAGUUGUGAGAAAAAGAAAAUGAUUUGGUUAAUGUAUUGCGUACAGCAGAAAAGAGAGGAGAAAACAUCAACAAUAAAAAAAAAAAAAGCAAAACAUUCAAGAACAGUAAUGCGGUGUUAUCAUUGCACUAACUCGUAAUGUAAAUUAUAAUUAGACAGUGAAUCCAGGAUUAAAGAGAACAUGCGUUGGAUCUAUGAUGAGGAAAGAACAGAAAAUACCAAUGAAGGCCUUCGUCUAAAUAAAAUGGACAAUACACUGCAUGAAUCCACGGUGUUUUCACUCACAAAGCACAAUAAAUAACUUAGCUGAUUUAUUUAUUUAUUUAUUUUUUUUUUGUAACUGGGUGAUGUUUACGGUAAAAUAAACUGGAUUUCUUGUUUUUCCUUUGUUUUCACCUCUUUGCUGAGGGGAUGGAACUGUUGAAAGCUAAGCUAAUUACUUGUGAUUAAAGUCUUAGAAGAAGAUUACGUAGACCGAAGGAAGAAGGAUGAAAAAAUUGAAGAAAUUCUGUUAAAACAGUUAAAGAGUUAGUUAUAAUCGUUAUGGCAGUUAUAUCAGUUUUUACUGUUACAAAAACUGUUACAAAUCAUUCUUACAUGUGUAAGAAUCGUGACCCUCCAUUAAUGGAUGGAUGAGAUGAUCUUGAUUCCUAAAAUACCGGAAUCAGUUACAUACAAUGUAUAUAAAUGCAGAGUUUGCUGCAUUGAAAAAUAUAUAGAAAAUACACAAGAAUUUCUUCAUAAUCUUCUCUGCACAUUUAAGCAUAUUCUUCUUUUUAAAACCUUCAGAAAAUAAACAUGGUAUCAGAGCUUACAAACUGAUUCCAAAGGAGCGUAAACUGUGACAAACAGAUUGAUUAAACUAUUAUUUACUCAAAAAAUGGUAGGAUCAAGCUCUGUUGGAGGAGAUUUAAGAACUUCAUAGUUUAAUGGCACAAAUUAUGAUUUUUGGGCUGUAAAAAUGGAGACUAUCCUCAUAGCAUUCGAUCUAUGGGAAGUAAUAGAAGUUGGAAUCAAUUCUCAUCCAUCAUCUAAGGUUGCAACUGGAUCAUGCGAUGAAGAGAGUGAAGUUGAGCAAACUACAUUGCAUGCAUCCACGACAUCCAGAGAAGAAAAAAUCAAGAAUGCAAAGGCAUUAAGCCUUAUACAAGGAGCAUUAACAGAUGACCUCUUCCCACGAAUAAGAAAUGAAAAGACUGCAAAAGGAGCUUGGGACAUUUUGAGUAGAGAAUUCAGAGGAGAUAAAAAGGUUAGAGCUGUAAAACUUCAAGCAGUGAGAGCUGACUUUGAAUACCUGAGAAUGACAGAAAGUGAGAGCUUAGAUGGAUAUCUAGCUAAAUUCUUUGCAACUGUGAAUAACCUGAAAUCAUUAGGAGAAGAUGUAUCAGAAAACAGAAUUGUGCAGAAAUUGCUAAUGAGUCUAAGCAGAAGGUAUAAGUCCAUUAUGAGUCCCAUGUAUGAAGGUGUGGUAUGUAUCUAUCUAUUGUGAAAAAUAUGGUGAGACAAGGAAUUCUUUGUCUCUUAGCGGUGAAAAAUGGACCGGAAGUCGCCACCUAGUAUUCUGGUUGUUAGAAACCCUAACUGGUCUUUAGAGAUCAGGUAUGGAGACUAGUUGCGUAAAGGGAAGGUGUUAACACCCCAACUACUCCCUACCUAAGAUAGGCUGCAUUGUUUUGUCUAAUAAAAUCUAAGUCAUGUUGUGGUUUCUUAUUGUUCAGAAUAUGCAUUACGUGUAAUGUCAUACCCCAGGUUCUAUUGUCCGAAAAAAAGAAUUAAAUAUCCGGAAUACACAGUACGUGUAAUAUCAUGCCCCGAAUACUAAGAGAUAAACAAAAUAAAAUUUUUGUUUGUUUUUGAAAUUUUGGCCAAUGUUCACUUGACUUUAAUAAACUGGUUAUUAAAGCCAAAAUGCAUGCUAAACAUUGAUUUUUGGUGUAUAUAAAAAACACAAUAUGAUUUUUUAGCUUGGAGACACUUGGCCGUAUGCACAAAAAUAUUUUUUUCUUUUUUUUAAUUUUUUUUUGUAUUUUUGGAAGUUUUGACGAAAACCGGGUAUUUUAAUAUCGGAUUUUGUAUUUUUAGCAACAUAAAAACACUGCUUGAUGUUAAUCAAAAUGACAUAAAAAAAUACACGGGAAACUUGUAAAAUUACAAACAAAUAUUAUUUUGAAUUUUUUUUUAACAAAAAAAAAAAGAGGCCAGAUCUGGCCCAACCAUCCUGGGCUGGGCCUGACCCGGCCCAUAUAUUGUGGGCUGGACUCAACCCAGCCGUAUGGGCUGGGCUGGACUCAACCCAGCUGAUUUUCCAACCUGUAACCAAUGAAAGGGGUUGGUUACUGUACACAGCACAGUAACCAGUAAAAAAUAUAAUUAGAUAGUUACUGUGCACAGCACAGUAACUAGCUAAUUAAAUCUUCAUUUGCUGCAGAACGUAAACGUUUUGCAUGCAAAUGAAGCUGAAGCGAAAAACAGACAGGGGAGGGGAGAAAAUUACCUGGAGCGAUGGCGACGCUGGCGACAACGGAUGUGGCAGGGGUGGUGGUGUAGGCGGCGACUGUUCUCUUUCCUUGUCUCCUAUUUCCUCUGUUUCUCUUCUCAGCCACCCUCUCCUCUGCCUUUUUUUCAUUGUCUGCUCUUCUUCUCCUCUUUCCCUUUGUGGUUGUCAGUGGCGUUUCAGAUGGCAGUGUCAGCGGUGGUCAGGUGGUGUGUUGUGGCGGUGGAGAGGAAGCAUGAUGGCAGCUGCGGUUCUUCUUCUUCUCCGGUAUAAAUAUAUUCUUGUCACUUCCCUUUCUCUUCUCUGCCUCCUUUGCCGGUUUCCCUUUCCCUCCUCUGCCUUCCCCAAAUAUUCCCCUCCCUUUUUCUGUAAUACUUCCCUCAGGUGGUUCCAGCUUUCCCUUCUCUCCCCAGUCUUUCUCUCUUUCGGUCUCUUUAAUAAACUCUCAGUUCUUUCUCUUGGUUUCCCUUAAAAAUCAUUCCCAGCUUCCUCCCUUUUUCUCCUCUCUUUUCUCCCUUCUUUCGGCACUCCCUCCUCUGGUAUUUAUAGGCAGAGGAGGGGAGGGCCACCUUACCCUUGUCAUGGUGCAGGGUAAGGUGAGCCGAGGAGUUGUUCGCAGGGUAUGGUGCUUUCAGUGCGAAGGCGUGGUGGUGUCAGUGAAGGGACAAGUCGGGUCGUCGUUGGUUUUUUGGGUUUUGGGACAGAGAGAGAGGGGGAAAUAGAAAACAGGGGAAAAAUGCUUCUUCUUCCCUUGCUCUUUGCGUGUGCAGGGGAAGAAGAAAGCUUAUGGUGCCGUUCACAACGACACCGUUUGUCCUUUUUUUUUGGAAAUGCAUGAAACGACGCCGUUUUGACCAAAACGCGUUGUUUCAUUUAAAUGAAAACAGGUGCCAGAAUGCAUUCAAUUUCAGAUCAGCCCCUCAAUUUGCGCGCUUUUUCAUUGUAGUCCUUGGUUUUGAAUUUCUUCGAUUAAGUCCUUAAUUGGCCACUAGACUUCAAUAUGCAUGCAAUUAAGCCCCUGAUUUGACCCAAUCAACUCUAAAAAAUAUAAUUUGACCCCAGAACUUCAAUUUCUUCGAAUUAAAACCCCAAAUUGACUUUAAAAUCAAAUUUUCUUGCAAUCAAACCCUCCAAUAAUUCAAUUAAACUUUCAAUAAAAUUUAAUUGAGUCCAUAAACAUCUGAUUUUGUACUUUUCUUCCUCCAAUAAAAUUUCCUUAAUCAAAAAGGCUCUCACUGGUCAAUGAUAUACUGUCAAAUUUCGAUUCAUUGAUAUAUUUUUGAUAUAUUAUUAUUAUUAUUAUUAAUUAAUUAAUUAAUUUUUUUAAAAUAAUUGUUUUUCUUAUUUCUUAUACGGGGACCAAAAAAAGGGUUGCAACAGGAACCAUGUUCUAUGCUUGCCAUUCUACAAGUCUGCAAGAUAGAAAGGUAUGGUUUGUGGAUAGUGCUUACAGCAACCACAUGACCUCUCAAGAAUCCGAACUAAUCAACAUCGAUAGAAUAGUAACCUGCACUAAAUCACCUCGUUUGAUCCCACAGCUUCACCCCUCGACUUGAUUUCGAAUAUGGUGAAGAUGAGUCAAGGGAUCCUCCUCUAGCAUUGGAUGCUUUGCGAUGUUGAUUUCGAUGGCUUACACAUGCUGUCUGCUCAUAAUUUCUUAUAUUCGUUUCAACAAUAAGAUUACGCCGAGUAAUCUCCAUCCCUCGAAAUCAUAGUAUUGCCCGAGUCAAAAAGCAUGAUUGAUUACCGAGCAAUACUAUCUCGACCACUGCAAAACACACUCUUGAAUUCCUGAAAAGCAGCAUGUCCUCGUGUAGGGCAUUACUACAUGCAUGAAAGUAUUAAGAAACCGGGAUCUUUGAGUAGAUCUUUCAAGUGGGAUAGGACCCACUUAAAAAAAUAGCAAGGCAAAAUUGAGGCCCAUGUGUAAGCAUACAAGGACAUCCAUUAAAGCCCAUGAGUAAAUCUUUCACUAAUUUUUAUUUAUCAAUUUUCCCAUAAAUUAUCUUGAUUUUCCAGUUCCCGUUAAAAUUAUUUAAUGAAAAACGUUAAGUACUUGUAAAAUGAUGCUAUUUUUUUAAUAGAAAAAAAGUGCAAUUUAGAAUAUAUUUUUUAAUAAAAACAUAAUUGAAAAGCCUUAAAGAUGAAUGCAAGUCGUUAACAAAACAAGUAGUUUUUAAAGUUUAAGAGUAAAAUCAGUAUGCAAAAUUAUGUAAUGACAAAAUUAAGACUAUUGAGAGUGUUUCUGAGACUUCGGCUUUUCUUCUUUGAAGCUUCGACGUAAGUGCUUUGGAGGGUGAGAGAAAUGGAGGAGAGAAGGGUUGACUAGCUGUAAACCAAUUAUUGACCCAGAGGGGUUCCUUUUUGAGGUCACCAAAUUUCCACGAAAGAGAUGAAAUCACCUAUAAGCCCAAGCUCAAAGGUUACAGAAUGUAAAAAAAGGCAAGCUAAUCGUUGUUCUCUUAUUGAGCAAAAAGCAAAGCAAACAUGGGCAGGAGGACAGCUUCUUGCUCUCUGUUUCUGUUUUUCACUCUUUUCACAACCUUGCAGAGUCCAAUUCUGGCUGCAAAAAAGGCAAGCUAGCAUGCAUUAAUGUUGUCUGAUCGUUUAGUCUUUCAAGUUACAUUUGCAAUCUCUCUUAUGUUAUAAUUCUGCUACUGACAGUGAUACCCGUGUCUGUGUACGUGCAGUCUUAUGUGGUUUACCUUGGGAGACAUUCUUAUGCUUCUGAACCUUCCACCACUGACCUGGAUAGGGUACCCGAUGCCCAUCAUGAACUUUUGGGUUCUUGUAUGAAGAGGUGAUGCAGUCCUGAAUAUUUCUGCUGUGUGAUCAGUGCUGUAUUUGGUUGUUCUAAUACUGAUGAUUAAGUUUGAACUCGUUAUUGUUGAAUAAACUCAAUCUAGAAGCACCUAGAUAGUCAAGGAAGGCAACCACCCACCAGCCGCAGCCGCCAGCCGCCAGCCGCCUUCACACCGCCGGUCAACAGCCGCCUUCACACCUGGAACAGUAGAUUUUCGUAUUCUGUUUUUUGUCUAUAAAUAGAGUGCCCAGCUUGUGUUUAUUUGAGUGGAGAGAAUAGAGAGAAACACUUGAAAGAGAAAGAGAGAAAGAGGGUGUGUUUAAGCUUUUGUUUUAAUUAAUUGUAAGCUUCGGAUUUUGUAAUAAAACCAGUGUGUUUUAUCCCCUCUGAGUGUUUCAAAGCCACCACCAGUGGUUCCUCCCACCAACAAUUGGUAUCAGAGCCCCGUUCGUCGGAAAACAGAAGAGUUUUGGGGUAUAUCCGAAUUUUCAAAGUUGUCAAAAACAAGUUUUGAUCAUUCCACAGUGUAGAGCUCAUCAAGACGAACUCACGCCGCAAAAAUCAGCCUCAUCGGAGUCCGGGUAGCCACACGCGCCGUCUGAAUAUUCACCAGAUCGCCCACGCGCAUCCCACGCGCCCGAGGUUGAAGACGACUGAGCCACACACGCGCCAUAUUGAGCCGUGUAAGCCGCCUAAGCCGAGUCCAGCCGAGCCACAAGCCGAGCCGUACCCGAGCCGAGCCGAGCCGAAGGAAUAUUCCCAGAAUAUUCCCGAAUAUUCCCCAGCAUAUUCCCAAGAAUAUUCCCCGAAUAUUCCACAGAAUAUUCCCGGUUCAACCCAGCGAACCGCCCGCCGUACAGAAUUGGUUUUUGACCGGUUCACCCAUUUUUGACCCGAUUUCAACAAAGUCAGACCGGUUCCCGACUAUUUGGACCAUUCCGGAUCGAUCUACAGUGUCCGUUUGGUCAAAUUCGGCUCCCAGAAGGCGAUAUAGUCAUUAAAAGAGCAAAAUGACUACAGAAGGUACACAUACACUCAUCCCGAAGCUGACCAAAGACAACUAUGAUAGUUGGUGCAUCAGAUUGAAGGCAUUUCUUGGGUCACAAGAGUGUUUGAUAUUGUACAAACUGGUUAUGAUGAACCAGAGUCCAAAGAAAGAGAAGAUGCUUUACAAGAGGCACAGAAGCAAGCCUAAAGUCAACAGAAAGAAGGACAACAAGCAAAGACCAUCAUCUAUCAAGGUCUUGAUGAAGAUACAUUCGAGAUAAUAGCUUCCGCUGAAACGUCACAUGAUAUAUGGGAGGCUCUCCAACAGAAAUACAAAGGUGCUGACAGAAUCAAGAAGAUUCGUCUUCAAUCUUUGAGAGGAGAAUUCGAAUUAUUACGAAUGAAGUCCUCAGAAUCUAUUUCUGAUUAUCAUACAAGGAUUAUGGUGAUAGUCAAUCAGAUGAGAGAAAUGGAGAAGCCUCAUGAUACUCGAAUUAUUGAGAAAAUUUUGAGAUCCAUAGAUCCAAAAUUUGAUCAUGUUGUUGUCGCAAUUGAAGAGUCCAAGGAAGUGGACAAGUUGACAGUGGAUGAGCUUAUGAGUUCUUUGCAAGCUCAUGAGCAGAAGAUUGUAAUGCGAAAUGAAGAUAAGGCCAUUGAGCAUGCCUUACAAGCAAAGCUGUCUUUCAAGGACAGAUAUGAGCAAGGGGAGACUUCAUCAAGUGGCUACACCACUCAAGGAGGAAGUCAACAAUCCAGAGGAGGAUUCAGAGAUUCCAAGGAAGAGGGAUCUUGGAAUACAAGCUUCAGAGGAAGAGGUGGCAGAAACACCACCAGAGGAGGCCGAGGACAACAAGCAUUCACUCCUAGAGGAAGAGGAGGCGGUUACAAUAACCGUGACAAGAGAAAUAUCAAAUGUUAUAGCUGCAAUCAAUUUGGGCACUAUAGCACUGAAUGCCGAUGGAAAGCUCCGUUGGAGACACGUGAGCAAGCCAACUAUGUAGAGAAGCAUGAUGGAGAAGCAUCUGCAUUUCUUGUCCAACAAGGACAUGGCGAGAAACAAGAGGAGAUAUGGUAUCUAGAUACUGGAGCCAGCAAUCACAUGUGCGGCUACCGAGAGUUAUUUGGUGAUCUAGAUGAGACCAAGCAAGGUCUAGUUACUUUUGGAGAUACCACAAAGGUUCCAUUCAAAGGUAAAGGCAACAUCCCAGUCAAGUUGAAGAAUGGCGAUUCCAGCUACAUCGCCGAUGUGUAUUAUGUCCCAGCCAUAAAGCAGAACCUGAUCAGCUUAGGCCAACUUUUGGAGAGAGGAUAUAGUUUUUACUCGAAGAAUUGUCAUCUGACAAUUAGAGACAACAAUGGGAGAUUAAUGGCCUACGUGAAAAUGUCCAAGAAUAGGAUGUUUCCUUUGAACAUCCAGUAUGAUGACAAGGUGUUUGAGUGCCAUCACCAACAGUGAAGAAUGGCUUUGGCACCUGAGGCUUGGACAUCUGAAUUUCACGAGUAUGAAGAUGCUAGCAAGCAAGAAGAUGGUCAAAGGUUUGCCUCACAUUGAUCAUCCAGAUGAAGUCUGUGAGAGUUGUGUCCUCAGCAAACAUCACAGAUCCAGUUUUGCCAAAGAAGUCAACUGGAGAGCAAAGAGGCCACUGGAGUUAGUACACACAGAUGUGUGUGGCCCAAUUACGCCUAUGUCGACUGGACAAAAUAGGUACUUCCUCACUUUUACUGAUGAUUUUAGUAGAAAGACGUGGAUAUACUUUCUGAAGAGGAAGUCAGAAGUAUUCAAUUGUUUUAAAGAUUUUAAAGCAAUUGUGGAGAAGCAAACUGGUUACACGAUCAGAACCGUAAGAUCUGAUCAAGGUGGAGAAUAUACAGCAAAUGACUUUGAAGCCUAUUGUACACAACAAGGCAUCAGACAUCAGACGACGCCAGCUUAUACACCACAGCUGAACGGUGUAGCAGAAAGGAAGAAUCGCACGAUUCUUGACAUGGCCAGAAGUUGCUCAAAGCAAAGAAGUUGCCCAAGCAAUACUGGGCUGAAGCUGUAUCAUGUGCAGUGUAUCUACUGAAUCGCUGCCCAACCAGAAGUUUGCAAGGAGUCACUCCAGAAGAAGCAUGGAGUGGUCACAAACCAAGUGUUACUCAUCUACGAGUCUUUGGUUGUGUGGCAUAUGCAAAGAUCCCAGAUGCAAGAAGGAGAAAGCUCGAUGAUAAGAGCGAGAAAUGCAUCUUUGUCGGAUAUGGUGAAAGAAGGAUGGGAUACAGGCUGUAUAAUCCCAUCACGAAGAAGGUGAUUACGAGUAGAGAUGUUAUCUUUGAAGAAGAUAAAUCUUGGGCAUGGAAUGAUCAAGAAGCAAUCAAAUGGAUCAAUCUGAUUUGAUCCUUGAAGGUGAAGAAGUACCAACAGUACUUGUCAGAACCGAUUGUGCCAGCCUGAACCACAAAGUCCUUGUGCCAGCAGCUGAACCACAAAGUCCGGCACACAGUUUCCCUGUAUUCAACAGGAGGAACACACCAGGAGCAUCAUCAUCAACACCACCAGCAUCCUCAUCAGAAGGACCAAGAAGGAUGCGGAAUCUUGAAGAGUUGUACGAUACCACUCAGGUUAUGGAAGAUACAACUCUAUUUUGUUUCUUUGCAGAUAGUGACCCACUAAGCUUCGAUGAAGCUAUCACAGAAGAGAAGUGGAUAGAAGCAAUGGAUGAAGAAGUACAUGCCAUUAAGAAGAAUGAUACCUGGAAGCUGACUUAUCUACCAGAAAACAAGAAAGCAAUAGGUGUCAAAUGGGUCUACAAGACGAAGAAGAAUGCCAAAGGAGAAGUGCAAAGAUACAAAGCCAGAUUAGUGGCUAAAGGCUACAAACAGAGAGAAGGCAUUGACUAUGGAGAAGUAUUUGCUCCAGUAGCCCGGCUAGAGACAAUCAGACUGAUGAUCUCACUAGCUGCACAACAUAGAUGGAAGAUCUAUCAACUCGAUGUGAAGUCAGCAUUUCUGAAUGGCUUCCUAGAAGAAGAAAUCUAUGUUGAACAACCACUUGGAUACAUUGAUGCUGAAAAUGAAGGCAAAGUAUACAAGUUGAAGAAGGCUCUCUAUGGUUUGAAGCAAGCUCCGCGUGCUUGGAAUACCAGAAUUGACAGGUAUUUUCAAGAUAAUGGAUUUGAAAAAUGUCCAUAUGAACACGCAAUGUAUGUGAAGAAAGGAGCAGAUGGCAGCAUCUUAUUUGCGUGCCUGUAUGUUGAUGAUUUGAUAUUCACCGGCAACAACCCUACCAUGUUUGACGACUUCAAACGAAGCAUGGUACAGGAGUUUGAAAUGACUGACAUUGGUCUAAUGUCACAUUUUCUUGGCUUAGAAGUAACGCAGAAGGAAGAAGGGAUUUUUGUAUCCCAAAGCGGUUACGCCAAAGAUAUUCUUGAAAGGUUCAAGAUGGAAAGCUGCAAUCCGGUAUCAACUCCAGUUGAGAAUGGAGUGGAAUUGAGGAAGAGUAAGGUUGGAAAUGUUGAUCCAACUUACUUCAAAAGCUUAGUAGGAAGCUUAAGGUACUUGACAUGUACCAGACCGGAUAUACUCUACGGAGUCGGACUCGUCAGCAGAUACAUGGAGACACCAGACCAGUCUCAUUUGAAUGCAGCCAAGAGAAUUCUUCGCUACAUCAAAGGCACAAUGAAUGAAGGUAUGUUUUAUACCUCAAGUAAAGACUUUAAUCUUGUAGGCUACUCGGAUAGUGAUUGGGGUAGAGAUCUGGAUGAAAGGAAAAGCACAACAGGGUUUGUCUUUUUCAUGGGAGACACAUCUUUCACAUGGUCAUCCAAGAAGCAAUCGAUUGUCACAUUAUCAAGCUGUGAAGCUGAGUAUGUUGCUGCCAACUCAGCCGUAUGCCAUUCAAUAUGGUUAAGGAAUAUGCUGAAGUUUUUGGGAUUUCCUCAAGAAAGUCCUACGGAGAUUUAUAUUGACAAUCGAUCAGCAAUCGCAUUAGCAAAGAAUCCAGUGUAUCAUGAGAGGAGCAAACACAUUGAUACACGUCAUCACUUUAUCCGGGAACAUGUGAAGAAUGAAGAAGUCCAACUGAUAUCUUGCAACACAAAUGAUCAAGUUGCUGACAUCUUCACAAAGCCAUUGAAAGGAGAAGUAUUCAUCCGAUUAAAGUUCAUGCUUGGCAUGACAUCCCUCGAUUGAGUUUAAAGGGGAGAUUUGUUGAAUAAACUCAAUCUAGAAGCACCUAGAUAGUCAAGGAAGGCAACCACCCACCAGCCGCAGCCGCCAGCCACCAGCCAGCCGCCAGCCGCCAGCCGCCUUCACACCGCCGGUCAACAGCCGCCUUCACACCUGGAACAGUAGAUUUUCGUAUUCUGUUUUUUGUCUAUAAAUAGAGUGCCCAGCUUGUGUUUAUUUGAGUGGAGAGAAUAGAGAGAAACACUUGAAAGAGAAAGAGAGAAAGAGGGUGUGUUUAAGCUUUUGUUUUAAUUAAUUGUAAGCUUCGGAUUUUGUAAUAAAACCAGUGUGUUUUAUCCCCUCUGAGUGUUUCAAAGCCACCACCAGUGGUUCCUCCCACCAACAGUUAUGACAGCAAGGAGAAGGCGAAACAAGCCAUCUUUUACUCCUACACUCGCUAUAUCAACGGUUUUGCAGCAGUACUUGAAGAAGAAGAAGCAGCUGAAAUUUCAAGUAUUUAUAAUACUAUUAAAAUUGUUCAGCUUGUAUAUCGUGCAAUCCUUGGUACUAUUACAAUUAUGGUCUUGUUAAUACGUUUUCAGAGCAUCCAGAAGUUGUAUCAGUUUCUCGAAACCAAAUAAGUCAAUUACACACAACAAAUUCAUGGGGCUUUCUUGGACUGGAAAGAAAUGGAGAAAUUCCAGCUGAUUCUAUGUGGCUAAAGGCAAGAUUUGGCGAAGACGUAAUUAUCGGGACCCUUGAUACUGGUAAUUAUAAUUUUACUUGUCUGUGUACAUGCAUAGAACUGGUCAAGUCUCCUUCAUAUCAUUUCAUCUUCUUAAUUUAAAUGUUUCUUGCAUUCAAUUAUUUUGGACCAGGUACAGCUACAUUGCAUCUUAAAGAAAAAUCUCCAAUGAUGGUAAAUUUUUGAUCUAUUUUUCUUGACUGUGCGUGACGCUAGGUGUUUGGCCGGAAUCCGAAAGCUUCAAUGAUGAAGGGAUGGGGCCUGUUCCAUCUAAAUGGAAAGGAUACUGCGAUCCAAAUGAUGGGAUUAAAUGCAACAGGUACUUUAAUUUCUUUCUCAAGGCCAGAGCUCUUUUCUUGACCUGAACUACUCAUUUUGCCUCUGAUAAUGAACCGCGGACAAAUUCUUCCGUUUCCUAUAGUAAGAUUAGUAACAUAAAAGACAUGUUGUUAUUAGCAGGAAACUUAUAGGAGCAAGGUACUUUAGCAAAGGCCACGAAGCUGCAGAAACACAUGAUUCUUCAAACCACACCGCGCGAGAUUAUGAUGGCCAUGGAACCCACACUCUAUCCACUGCUGGAGGUCGUUUUGUUUCGGGGGCAAACUUGCUUGGUUCAGCUUAUGGAACAGCUAAGGGAGGUUCGCCCAGCUCGCGAGUCGCUUCAUACAAGGUCUGCUGGCCCCGCUGUAGCGAUGCUGAUGUGUUGGCUGGCUAUGAAGCUGCUAUUCAUGAUGGGGUCGAUAUCCUCUCAGUGUCACUUGGAUCCGGUCCGAGAGAAUACAUUACUCAUGGGAAUGCAAUUGGAGCAUUUCUUGCUAUGGAGCGCGGGAUUCUUGUGGUUGCCUCGGCUGGAAAUGAAGGACCUGACCCUGGAGUCGUAGGGAAUGUAGCUCCCUGGAUUCUUACAGUUGCUUGUAGCACUAUCAGUAGGGAGUUCACAUCUAAUGUCAUCCUCGGAAAUAACAAACAAUACAAGGUUCGUUCUGUAAGCUCAUAUCUUUAGCAAGUCCUUGUAAAUUGUUCUACCUAUCAUGGGAUCCAAGAAUUUGCUAUAUUAAUUUCUAGAUAAUCAGGGUAUGAGUUUUAAUACCAACACUCAACCAGCUGGGAAGUUUUACCCCUUGAUCAAUUCGGUGGAUGCUAAAGCUGCCAAUGUUUCCAGUAAUCAAGCGUAAGCAGCAAACUAAUUUUGUUCUCAGCCAAAAUUACAUUUUCUGUAGUUGUUAGGUUCAUAUUUCUUAUCUUGUUGUCUUUGGCAGAAAAUAUUGCUCCAUCGGAUCCCUUGACCCCUUGAAAGUUAAAGGAAAAAUCGUAUAUUGUACUCGCAAAAGAUCCUGAUGUAGAAAAGAGUCUGGUUGUUUCUCAAGCUGGUGGUGUUGGGGUGAUACUUGCUAAUCAAUUGAUAAUUCAACAAAUCCGACCUCGGGCACACUUUGUUCCUACUUCCGUUGUCUCUGCAGACGAUGGACUUUCCAUUUUAACUUAUGUCUAUAGUACAAAGUAAGGUCUAUGUAAUAGAUAAUUCAGACAAUUAAACUUUGUUGAUUUCAGUCGAUAAUGCCCUGAACAAUCUAUCGUUUGUGAUCCUGUGAAUCUCUUGGAACUUCUCUUUUCACUCAGGUCACCUGUAGCUUACAUAAGUGGCGCCACGAAGGUGGGAACAGUGGCUGCACCUGUCAUGGCUGAUUUUUCAUCUCCUGGGCCUAACUUCAUCACCCCAGAGAUCCUUAAGGUACGUACUCUUAAUAGCUUCACAUGAGCGUUUUAAAAUACAUGAUCAAUAUUAUUUUUAUAGUGAGAGUGCAUAUGUGAUGAUUUCAGCCCGACAUCACUGCACCUGGAGUCAAUAUUCUAGCUGCCUUCACCGGAGCAUCAGGGCCAACUGCUGUGCCAGGAGACCGGCGCCGAGUACAUUUCAACUUUUUAUCUGGAACCUCAAUGGCAUGCCCCCAUGUUUCCGGAAUCGCUGGUCUUCUCAAAACUAUUCACCCUGAUUGGAGUCCUGCUGCAAUUAAAUCUGCAAUCAUGACAACAGGUUAGUGCUUUUCUGCUCUUCGCAUUAGCAUCUCCAAGUGCUUCUCUUCUGAUAGCUUGAGUGGUUGCUUAUGACAUUUCAGCGACAACGAUCAGUAAUGUGAAGCAGCCUAUCGCGAAUGCUUCUCUUCUUGAGGCAACCCCAUUGAAUUAUGGUGCCGGGCACAUAUGGCCUAGCCGUGCAAUGGACCCAGGCCUGGUCUAUGACCUAACGACUAAAGAUUACGUGAAUUUUCUAUGCUCCAUUGGCUAUAACUCAACCCAGUUGUCACUUUUUAUUGGUAAGCCAUACAUAUGCCCGUCGCAGAACAAUGGUCUGCUGGAUUUCAACUAUCCAUCCAUUACUGUCCCGAAUCUCUCAAGCAAUAAGACCACGUUGUCCCGAACCUUGAAGAACGUGGGGACUCCAAGCUUGUAUAGAGUUAAUAUCAGGGCACCUGGAGGCAUAUCUGUGAAGGUUGAGCCAAGAAGCUUGAAGUUCGAUAAGAUAAACGAAGAGAAAAUGUUCAAGGUCACUCUAGAGGCCAAGAAAGGGUUUAAGAGUAAUGACUAUGUGUUUGGAGAGAUAACCUGGUCUGAUGGGAAACACCAUGUGAGGAGUCCUGUUGUGGUGAAGAAGAUGGAAGUAGCAGCCUAAGGUUGAAGGACACUGACCAGGCGUCUGGAUUUGUAGGUGGAAGGCCAGCGUGUAGAGAUCUAUAUAUCUCCAUGGUCACCAAAUCGAUCUUCAAAUUCCCGUUCCAUGUCAUGACAAGUAUCGAAUGUCACCAAAUCGUGUCAUUUUUUUUAUGCCACUAAUCUAGUGAUUGAACUAAGAAAAUAAAAAUAAAAAUAAAUGGUUUUGUUUUAGAAUAUUUUGGAAUGGUUUUUGGUUUUUAUCUACUUUCUAUUGAUUUUGUUUAGUUGCUUUAGUAUUUUUGUUUUUCUAUUUAUAUGUUAUUUAUGGCUCUGUUUUUUACCUUUUGUUGUGUGACAACUGAUUAGGUUACUGUGCAUUAAGUUUUUUGAGAGUGCAGGUAAUGCUGUGAAGCCUAGCUUACCAUCUUUCAUUUAUUAACAAAAUCUUAUGAUAAAGACAUUCAAUUGUCAUAUCCCUCAAUUGGAGAACAAAAGGAUAUCCAUACAUUUUGUAGGUGUCAAAAAAUAUGAAAGAUCUAUUUAUGUUAUUUAUUUACCUUAGUUUUUUUUUAGGCUUAAUAAUUCUAUCUAGAAAAAUUAUUUCUAGUAUCUAAUUAAUAACAUAUUGCACUGCGAUUAAGCUAACAAUGAAUGAAUUCCCACAAAGAUUUAUCUACUUAUCGUGGCUUUUUUUUUUCUUCUCUUUAGGCUUCAUAAUUGUACCCAAGAAAAUCACAUAUUGCAUUACAAUUAAGUUAAUGAUGAAUGAAUUCCUACAAAGACCUUUUACCGAAGAAUGUGACCAUCUUAAGAGGUAGUAUAACAUCAUAAUUUUCUAAAAUAUCUUAGGUGUUGUUUUUGAACAAGUAUAUCCAAUUCAAACAUAAUAGUAAUAUAUAUUAUUUGGAAAAUUCUACGUUCAAUUUGUUCUUUGUCACUUAACUUUUUUUAUUCUUAAUUUAAUCAUUUCACAUUAAAUUAAUUUAGGAUUGAGUUUAAUGUUUUAUUUCAGUUGGGCUCUAGCGAUAUUAAUAAUAAGUUUUGAUGUUAAGUUGAUGAUUAAUUUGGUAAAAUAAAAUUUAAAUUUAUUGAUUCAAAUCAAUUAAAAUGUCAACGACUUAAUUUUAAACUGUAAAUACUCAGUCUUUUUUUCUUUAAAAAAUAAUAUUUUUAUUUCAACUUUCUAACUCAAUUUUUAAUUGAAACUAACAUAUAUAACGCAUGAAUACAUCAAACUACAGCAACAAAAGAGCAGUCUUUUGUUGUAGAGUAUGAACAUAAAAUUAAACAGUCUUCUCUAAUUUAGAGCAUAAAAUAAAAUCGAUGUGCUAAUAGCUAACCAUAAACAGACAUAUUGAGGAAUUAAACUGCUGGCAUGGUCAUACCCUCCUGUUGAUAUAAUUGGGUCAAAUGGAAUAUUUAUUUUAAGCAAAAGCAAGAAAAAAGUAGUCUAAAAUAUGAUAAAGUAGUAGUAGUUGUGUUAAGCAAAAAGGAAGAAAUGUUGUCUUAUCAUCCCACGUUUUUGCCUGCAUGGACCGACGGAUCGCCUGCGAGAAGAAUGCUUUUUUUUUUUUUAAAGCAUUCUUCUCAUAGGCGAUCCGUCGAUCUAUGCUUGAACAUGUAAGAAAAGUAAACCUAAUGUAUUCUCGGAUCUUUUAUUAUUAUUAUUAUAAAGAAUAAGUUUGAACUCCAUCUUUUUCUAAAAGAAAGGAGAUACGAAUACUAUUACAAAGAAAAAAAAUGAUUGGGAUUUUGAAAUUACUGUAUACCUAGACAUAAUGUAUUGUAAACGGAACAAUAUAAUUAUGUUUUUGCCUUUAUAUAUAGAAAAAAAAAAAACAUUAGACUAGCUAUUGGGAGUAAUACUGAAUUUUUUCAUGGACCAUGUGUUCAUUAUUAUAUUUAUUAGGGACAAUGCAGUCUGUUUACAUUUUUAUAGAACAAUGUAAUGACUAGAAUAACCUUAAAAUCAAAAUAAUUUUAUCUGAAUUUAGAGAUUGACUUGUUUUUUCAUUUUUAUAUGUAUAAUGAGUCUACAUACUUAACCUUGGAUGCAAAUUUUAUUAAACUUGGGAUCGAGGGCUUCUUUGUAUUUUCAUCAUUAUUUUUUAGUUAUAAUAUGGUCAAGUUUGGGGUAACUUGGUAUUUUAGUAAGUGUAAGAAAUAUUUUUUUUAAAAAAAAUGAUUGACGUGUACAACACACACAUUAACGUGUUAGGCGGCAUAUGCGGAUUUAUAUGGUGUUAGAAAAUGGCCAUCCGUGACGGUUAACAAUCCUCUUGGCAUCCCUUUUCUGAUGAAGUGGCGGCGUGUGCAGCGGUGUGGCUCCUACCACUUUUUUUUUUCUUCUCACUUCUCCUUGAAAAACAAGUUACCCAAUCAAAAAUCUAUAUUUUCCUUUUAAUUUUUUUUUUUAAGUUUAUGAUUUAGUUUCCUUUUGAUUAUCUUAUUUUCAUUUUGAUUUUUUUUGAAAACUUUAAAUUUUUUAUUUAUUUUGCCUUUAAUUUAAAUGUUAUUUUUAUUUCAUGUUUGAUUCUCUUUCUUUUGAUUUCUUAUUUAUGUAUUGAUUUUAUUUUUUUUGUAAAAUGUAAGAUUUUUUUCAAAUUCAGCCUAAAAUCAAACAAUGUUAUUUUUAUGCUUUGUCUGUUUUUGUUUAACAUUUGAUCUUUAUUAUUUUAUAUUGCUAUUUUAUUUUAUGGAACCUUUUGUCAAAUUAUUUUUUUUUCUUUCAAUUUCAUCCCUCAAUCUUGGGUUGGUUAGUUAGAAAUUGAGGGUCAUGGUUUUUUUCAAUUGAGUUACACCAGUUUCAUGACUCUGGUAAAAAAUUUAAAAGUUUGGGUCAACUUGGGUGGUGUCGACUUUUUUCCCCCUCUUUUUACACUAAUUUCCUUUUAGUUUUACUCCUUUAAUACUUUAGAUUUGUGAAGUUAUUCGUGUUUUCUUCAAACUCAUUUUUAAAAUCUAACUAGAUUUAUUUCACUCCAUUAUCAUGGUCUCUUGACCUUGAUAGUAAGUUUUUCUAUUUACCUAGGGAUCGCUCUACGUUUUUCUUUUGGAGUUAUCUUUUUAAAAUUGAUUAUUUUUUUCUAGUUUAGUUGUUCAUUAUUUUUCUUUGCAUUUAGGCUCCGUUUGUUUGCAGGAAAGUGAAUUCCUUUUUGAAUUGGAAAGUGAAUUCCGGGAAAGUAUUUUCCGAUGUUUGGUAGUGUUAUGGAAAAUGAACUGGAAAACACUUUCCAGUGUUUGGUUAUGUCAUGGAAAAUGAGCUGGAAAAUAACUUAUUAUAUUUUAUUUUUUUCAAGUUUAUUAAAUAAUGAGGAACAAAUUUACAAUUAAAAAGUUGAAUGAUAAUGAAAUUGAAAAAAAAUAUAAUUUCAUAAAUUAUCUCAAAUAAAACAAAUAAUAAUCAAAUAAUAGGGUCAAAUCUAAAAUUAAAAAAAAAAUGAAAAAUGAAGAAUUAAAUAAUAAUAAUCAACAUUUCAUAAAUUAUUUCAAAUAAAAUAAGUAACAAUCAAAAGAAUGAGGAUCAAAUUUGAUAAAUAAAAAAUUUCAAUAAAAAAUGAUAAGAAAAAAGCAAAUAGCAAUUAUAAAAAUAAGGACAAAGUUAAUAUAAAAUAAAAUUUUAAGAGAUGAAAUUGAAAAAUAAAUAUUCAAAACAAAAUAUAUAUAGUAAUCAAAAGUUUGAGGAUCAAAUUUGAUAUAAUCAGCAAAUAAUGGCAUUUCUAAAUUUUUCACAACUUCCGGAAAGUGUUUUCCCCUCAAAUUUUUCAGGAAAACACUUUCCUGAAAACCAAGCCAAAUUUUCCUUUUACUGGAAAGUGUUUUCCAUUGACCAACUUUCCUACUGGCAAAUAAACACAAGAAAGUUUGGAAAGUGCUUUCCCGGAAACCACUUUCCGGAAAACAAACACAGAUAAAAGGAAAACACUUUCCUGAAAACCAAGUCAAUUUUUUUUUUGACUAAAAUUGACUGGAAAGUGUUUUCCGUUGACUAGAAAGUGUUUUCCGCUGACCGGAAAUUGUUUUCCGUUGACCAACUUUUCUAAUGACAAACAAACACAAGAAAGUUUGGAAAAUGGUUUCCCGGAAACUACUUUCCGAGAAACAAACAAGUCCUUAGCUUCAUAAAUUUGGGAAAAUGAUGAUUUUUUAAAAUAAAAAAAAUACUUUUAUACAUAUAUAUGCAUUUAUAUUAUUUCUUAAAAAAGUGUUAAAAUUAGAACGACAAUUUAUAAUACUUCAAACAUGUUAUUGUUUCAUAGCUCAUCGAACUAGAUAUAUGUUAUAAUAUCUUAAUUACCAGCAUAGAUCAAUCUUAAUUAUAAUCCACCAUAAGUACAAUAACAUGAACAGGCCAUGAAUUAUGACACGGUGGUCUGCAACUGUAUCCUUCUGCUCUUUUGCUCUUCUUUUUCUCGACAAGUAAUUGUUGAGUGGGUCUUUGUAGCCCAGAAACCAACACUUUCUUUUGGGUGUGUGUAUAUAUAUAUUUUAUACUAUACCGCAAGUCUUGGAGACAAUCUUCCACUUUAUUAGCCAUAUAUUUGUGGGUUCCAUAUAAAUUCAACAAGAUCAAUGGCAAUUAGGAUUAUGUUUUGUUAAUAGAUUAAAUAGAUAAUUUGAUUCACGUCAUUUGUCUCUCAAUAUUAGAAUUAAUUACUCGGUUGAUUCUGAAAUUUAAUGAUAACUUUACGGAGUUAAUCUAAUGGUUAAGAAAUCAUGCUUUUAUCUUUAUUUUUUCAGCUAAACAUUUGGAAUUAACAUUCUAAAAAAUCCAUUAAAUUUCUUUAAAUAUAUCGAAUCGAUGUAUUUUUUUUUAAAGAAAAACUUAGUUUUAAUACUGGACACGCUAAAAAAAUAGGGUUUAAAUACUAUGGUGCACAACUUUGAUAAAUGUCGUUAUGAAAAAGCUUAUGCUGUCCACCUUUUCGACAAGCAUGAUACUCCUUUAAUCUUCUUUUCUAAGUAAAACAGGACACCACAGUUCCAUUUAUUUUUCCUUUUUGCUCCAAAAGACAGCUUACAAAGCCCUCCUCUCAUCAAAAGAGGAAGUAAAGUAAGAAGAAAAGGGAGAAAACAACAAUAAUCCCGAUGAUAAAGGGCCUAGCUAGCUACAGUACUGUUCCGUUUUAGGUUCCAGUCUUCUAUCAGUUGUGAGAAAAAGAAAAUGAUUUGGUUAAUGUAUUGCGUACAGCAGAAAAGAGAGGAGAAAACAUCAACAAUAAAAAAAAAAAAAGCAAAACAUUCAAGAACAGUAAUGCGGUGUUAUCAUUGCACUAACUCGUAAUGUAAAUUAUAAUUAGACAGUGAAUCCAGGAUUAAAGAGAACAUGCGUUGGAUCUAUGACGAGGAAAGAACAGAAAAUACCAAUGAAGGCCUUCGUCUAAAUAAAAUGGACAAUACACUGCAUGAAUCCACGGUGUUUUCACUCACAAAGCACAAUAAAUAACUUAGCUGAUUUAUUUAUUUAUUUAUUUUUAUUUUUUUUUUGUAACUGGGUGAUGUUUACGGUAAAAUAAACUGGAUUUCUUGUUUUUCCUUUGUUUUCACCUCUUUGCUGAGGGGAUGGAACUGUUGAAAGCUAAGCUAAUUACUUGUGAUUAAAGUCUUAGAAGAAGAUUACGUAGACCGAAGGAAGAAGGAUGAAAAAAUUGAAGAAAUUCUGUUAAAACAGUUAAAGAGUUAGUUAUAAUCGUUAUGGCAGUUAUAUCAGUUUUUACUGUUACAAAAACUGUUACAAAUCAUUCUUACAUGUGUAAGAAUCGUGACCCUCCAUUAAUGGAUGGAUGAGAUGAUCUUGAUUCCUAAAAUACCGGAAUCAGUUACAUACAAUGUAUAUAAAUGUAGAGUUUGCUGCAUUGAAAAAUAUAUAAAAAAUACACAAGAAUUUCUUCAUAAUCUUCUCUGCACAUUUAAACAUAUUCUUCUUUUUAAAACCUUCAAAAAAUAAACAUGGUAUCAGAGCUUACAAACUGAUUCCAAAGGGGCGUAAACUGUGACAAACAGAUUGAUUAAACUAUUACUUACUCAAAAAAUGGUAGGAUCAAGCUCUGUUGGAGGAGAUUUAAGAACUUCAUAGUUCAAUGGCACAAAUUAUGAUUUUUGGGCUGUAAAAAUGGAGACUAUCCUCAUAGCAUUCGAUCUAUGGGAAGUAAUAGAAGUUGGAAUCAAUUCUCAUCCAUCAUCUAAGGUUGCAACUGGAUCAUGCGAUGAAGAGAGUGAAGUUGAGCAAACUACAUUGCAUGCAUCCACGACAUCCAGAGAAGAAAAAAUCAAGAAUGCAAAGGCAUUAAGCCUUAUACAAGGAGCAUUAACAGAUGACCUCUUCCCACGAAUAAGAAAUGAAAAGACUGCAAAAGGAGCUUGGGACAUUUUGAGUAGAGAAUUCAGAGGAGAUAAAAAGGUUAGAGCUAUAAAACUUCAAGCAGUGAGAGCUGACUUUGAAUACCUGAGAAUGGCAGAAAGUGAGAGCUUAGAUGGAUAUCUAGCUAAAUUCUUUGCAACUGUGAAUAACCUGAAAUCAUUAGGAGAAGAUGUAUCAGAAAAUAGAAUUGUGCAGAAAUUGCUAAUGAGUCUAAGCAGAAGGUAUAAGUCCAUUAUGUCAAUCAUUGAGGAGACACGAGAUCUUGAUGUUCUGAGAGCAAAAGAAGUCAUUGCUUUUGUGAAAGUUUAUGAUAAGAGGGAAGAUCUACAUGAUGAAAGGGAUAAGCUAACAGGAAUAGAGAAAGCCUUUAGCAGUUUAAAGAUUGAAAACAAUCAAGCCUACAGCUCACACAAGUGUUUCCAAGGCAGACAUCCUCAAAGAUGGCAAUCACAAGACAGGAGAGGACCAAAUCCAUUUCCAAACAGAAAUGGAACCAACUAUAAUAAUGCAAGCUAAAACAACACUGCUUGGGGAAGUAGUCAAGCGAGUGUAAAGCCACAAUGCCAAGUCUGCCAGAAGCAACAUUUUGGUUUAUGUAGACACAAAGGAAAACCAAGAUGUGGAAGAUGCAACCGGUUUGGCCAUAUUGCAAAAGAUUGCGAGAGUCGCAGUCACAAACAACUAGCAAAUUAUGCCAAAGAAGAGAGAGUUACCACAGGAACUGUCGCACGUGUGCGACGUUGCGGCGAUCACCCACCACCCCAUGUAUGAAGGUGUGGUAUGUAUCUAUCUAUUGUGAAAAAUAUGGUGAGACAAGGAAUUCUUUGUCUCUUAGCGGUGAAAAAUGGACCGGAAGUCGCCACCUAGUAUUCUAGUUGUUAGGAACCCUAACUGGUCUUUAGAGAUUAGGUACGGAGACUAGUUGCGUAAAGGGAAGGUGUUAACACCCCAACUACUCCCUACCUACGGUAGGUUGCAUUGUUUUGUCUAAUAAAAUCUAAGUCAUGUUGUGGUUUCUUAUUGUUCAGAAUAUGCAUUACGUGUAAUGUCAUACCCCAGGUUCUAUUGUCCGAAAAAAAGAAUUAAAUAUCCGGAAUACACAAUACGUGUAAUAUCAUGCCCCGGAUACUAAGAGAUAAACAAAAUAAAAUUUUUGUUUGUUUUUGAAAUUUUGGCCAAUGUUCUCUUGACUUUAAUAAACUGGUUAUUAAAGCCAAAAUACAUGCAAACAUUGAUUUUUGGUGUAUAUAAAAAACACAAUAUGAUUUUUUAGCUUGGAGACACUUGGCCGUAUGCACAAAAACAUUUUUUUUCUUUUUUUUAAUUUUUUUUUGUAUUUUUGGAAAUUUUGAUGAAAACCGGGUAUUUUAAUAUCGGAUUUUGUAUUUUUAGCAACAUAAAAACACUGCUUGAUGUUAAUCAAAAUGACAUAAAAAAUACACGGAAACUUGUAAAAUUACAAACAAAUAUUUUUUUGAAUUUUUUUUAACAAAAAAAAGGGGCCAAAUUUGGCCCAACCAUCCUGGGCUGGGCCUGACCCGGCCCAUAUAUUGUGGGCUGGACUCAACCUAGCCGUAUGGGCUGGGCUGAUGUUCCAGCCUGUAACCAAUGAAAGGGGUUGGUUACUGUACGCAGCACAGUAACCAGUAAAAAAUAUAAUUAGCUAGUUAUUGUGCUAAAUCUUCAUUUGCUGCAGAACGUAAACGUUUUGCAUGCAAAUGAAGCUGAAGCGAAAAACAGACAGGGGAGGGGAGAAAAUUACCUGGAGCGAUGGCGACGCUGGCGACGCUGGCGACAACGGAUGUGGCAGGGGUGGUGGUGUAGGCGGCGACUAUUCUCUUUCCUUGUCUCCUGUUUCCUCUGUUUCUCUUCUCAGCCACCCUCUCCUCUACCUUUUUUUCAUUGUCUGCUCUUCUUCUCCUCUUUCCCUUUGUGGCUGUCAGUGGCGGUUGGAGAUGGCAGUGUCAGCGGUGGUCAAGUGGUGUGCUAUGGCGGUGGAGAGGAAGCAUGAUGGCAGCUGCGGUUGUUCUUCUCCGGUAUAAAUAUAUUCUUGUCACUUCCCUUUCUCUUCUCUGCCUCCUUUGCCGGUUUCCCUUUCCCUCCUCUGCCUUCCCCAAAUAUUCCCCUCCCUUUUUCUGUAAUACUUCCCUCAGGUGGUUCCAGCUUUCCCUUCUCUCCCAGUCUUUCUCUUUUUCGGUCUCUUUAAUAAACUCUCAGUUCUUUCUCUUGGUUUCCCUUAAAAAUCAUUCCCAGCUUCCUCCCUUUUUCUCCUCUCUUUUCUCCCUUCUUUCGGCACUCCCUCCUCUGGUAUUUAUAGGCAGAGGAGGGGAGGGCCACCUUACCCUUGUCAUGGUGCAGGGUAAGGUGAGCCGGGGAGUUGUUCGCAGGGUAUGGUGCUUUUAGUGCGAGGGCUUGGUGGUGUUAGUGAAGGGACAAGUCGGGUCGUCGUUGGGUUUUCGGGUUUUGGGACAGAGAGAGAGGGGGGAAUAGAAAACAGGGGAAAAAUGCUUCUUCUUCCCUUGCUCUUUGCGUGUGCAGGGGAAGAAGAAAGCUUAUGGUGCCGUUCACAACGACACUGUUUGCCCUUUUUUUUUUUUGAAAAUGCAUGAAACGGCGCCGUUUUGACCAAAACGCGUUGUUUCAUUUAAAUGAAAACAGGCGCCAGAAUGCAUUCAAUUUCAGAUCAGCCCCUCAAUUUGCGCGCUUUUUCAUUGUAGUCCUUGGUUUUGGAUUUCUUCGAUUAAGUCCUUAAUUGGCCACCAGACUUCAAUAUGCAUGCAAUUAAGCCCCUGAUUUGACCCAAUCAACUCUAAAAAAUAUAAUUUGACGUCAGAACUUCAAUUUCUUCCAAUUAAAACCCCAAAUUGACUUUAAAAUCAAAUUUUCUUGCAAUCAAACCCUCCAAUAAUUCAAUUAAACUUUCAAUAAAAUUUAAUUGAGUCCAUAAACAUCUGAUUUUGUACUUUUCUUCCUCUAAUAAAAUUUCCUUAAUAAAAAAGGCUCUCACUGGUCAAUGAUAUACUGUCAAAUUUCAAUUCAUUGAUAUAUUUUUGAUAUAUUUUAUUAUUAUUAUUAUUAAUUAAUUUUUUUAAAAUAAUUUUUUUUCUUGUUUCUUAUACGGGGACCAAAAAAAGGGUUGCAACAGGAACCAUGUUCUAUGCUUGCCAUUCUACAAGUCUGCAAGACAAAAAGGUAUGGUUUGUGGAUAAUGCUUACAACAACCACAUGACCUCUCAAGAAUCCGAACUAAUCAACAUCGAUAGAAUAGUAACCUGCAAAGUAAAGAUGGGCUCAGGAGACCUUGUGCAAGCAACUGGCAAAGGCACAUUGGUUGUAGAAACUCAACAUGGGAAAAGAUACAUAAAAGAGGUACUACUUGUUCCUGGAUUGGAUGAAAACCUAUUGAGUGUAGGGCAUGUGAUGGAGCAUGGUUAUUACAUUCUGUUUGGAGAUAACAAAGCAGUAAUAUUUGAAGAUGAAAGCCUCAACAAUGUUAUAGCAAUAGUGAUCAUGAGAGGAAAUCGAUGCUUCCCACUUUCACUUGAAUCCAUCACACCUGCAGCAAGGAAAGCUUCAGUGACUGAGGAUUCCUGGAUAUGGCAUAGAAGACUGGGACACUUGAAUUUUGCCAGCAUGAAGAAGAUGCAGCAGAAGGAGAUGGUAUGCGGGCUUCCUGUUCUGACAGAAGUAGAAGAUGUUUGUGCAGGCUGUGCAUCAGGCAAACAUCACAGGGAGAAAUUCGACAAAGAGCAAGCGUGGAGAGCAAGUGAUCCACUGGAAUUAAUCCACACUAAUUUGUGUGGACCAAUGCAGAAUGAAUCCAUAGGAGGAAAUAGAUACUUUAUCACAUUCAUUGACGAUUACUCAAGAAUGUGUUGGGUAUAUUUCCUCAGAAACAAAUCUGAUGCACUCAAUGUGUUCAAGAAAUUUAAGGCAUUUAUUGAGUUGCAAAGUGGAUAUAAAUUAAAGAAGCUGAUAAGUGACAGAGGUAAUGAAUAUACUUCAAAAGAGUUUAAAGAAUUCUGUGUAAAACAAGGAACGGAGAGGCAACUGACAGUUUGAUACUCUCCUUAAUAGAAUGGAGUUGCAGAGAGGAGAAAUAGAACAAUUUGUGAAAUGGCAAGAUCCAUGCUAAUAGAGAAAGAAAUGUCAAUAAUCUUCUGGGCAGAAGCUGUGAAUACAACUGUGUAUAUUCAGAAAAGAUGUUACACAACAUCUGUUACUGAAAAGACUCCUUUUGAAGCCUUUACGGGAAGGAAGCCAGGAAUCAAGCAUCUAAAGGUGUUCGGUUGCUUGUGCUACACACAUAUCCCAUCAUCACUAAGGCAGAAAUGGGAUAGCAAAGCUGGAAAGAGAGUGUUUGUUGGGUAUGGUAGCUGUGAGAAAGGGUAUAGAAUAUAUGACCUGAAAACUGAGAAGAUUGUUCUUUCAAGAAGUGUGAUUUUCAGUGAAGAUAGAGCAUGGAAUUGGGAAAGAAAUUUGAUGAACCAAAGCCACUUGUCUUUCAAUCAUGAAGGGGGUGAAGUUGAAGGUGAAAAUUCUGAGGAACACUCUGCUGCAGUCCAACCCGAUAAUGUUGAACAUUGCAAUCAAAAUUCUACAGUUGGAGAGUUAGUUGAGAAGAUUGACAGUGAUAACAGUCAACAAUCUUCACCGAGCUCUACUCUAGUAAAAUUAAAAACCUUGGAAGACAUACAUGCAAGGUGUCACAUGUGCAUCAUAGAACCUGAGAACUAUCAAGAAGCUUUUGGAAAUAAAGCCUGGCAGAAAGCUAUGAAGGAAGAAUUGGAAGUGAUAGAGCAGAACAAUACUUGGGAAUUGGUGGAGAGACCAAGUGAUAAAACUGUGAUAGGAGUGAAAUGGGUGUACAAAACUAAGCUUCAUCUUGAUGGAACAGUUCAAAAACAUAAGGCUCGCCUUGUAGCAAAAGGAUAUGCACAAAAAUCCAGAAUUGACUAAAAUGAAACAUUUGCACCAGUAGCAAGGUUAGACAUAAUCCGGACUCUCAUUGCACUUACAACACAAAAGGGGUGGAAAUUGUUUCAAUUGGAUGUUAAAUCAGCAUUCCUAAAUGGUGUUCUUAAAGAAGAAGUAUAUGUUGAGCAGCCUGAAGGGUUUGAAGUAAAGAAUGCAAGACACAAAGUUUACAAACUAAAGAAGGCCUUGUAUGGAUUAAAGCAGGUACCGAGGGCCUCGUAUAGUGAAAUUGAUGCAUACCUCUCUAUGUGCAAAUUCAAAAGGAGCACAAGUGAAGCUACUUUGUAUACAAGAUCAGACAUGGAAGGUAAUUUGAUCAUUGUCUCAAUCUAUGUUGAUGACAUUGUGUACACUGGCAGCAAUGAGAGGAUGCUCAGUGAAUUUAAAAAGGAAAUGAUGCAAAGGUAUGAGAUGUCUGAUCUUGGAAUCCUUUAUCAUUUUAUUGGCAUGAGAAUACUACAAACCAAUCAAGGGGUGUUUAUUCAUCAAGGGAAAUAUGCCAAAUCCCUGCUUAGUAAGUUUGGACUUGAUGAUUGCAAACCAGUCUCCAUUCCCUUGGCCACUGGUGAGAAGCUGAAGAAGGUGGAUGGGAGUGAGUUGGCUGAUGAAGAACUUUAUAGAAAAAUAACAGGAAGUUUACUAUAUUUGACAGCUACAAGACCUGAUCUAAUGUAUGUUGCAAGUUUAUUAUCACGGUUCAUGGCUGGACUUACCAAGAUUCACAUGGGAGCUGCAAAAAGAGUUCUAAGAUAUGUGCAAGGAACUCUCAGCUAUGUGAUUGAAUAUGUAAGGGAUCAAUCAGCAACUCUCAUUGGAUUUUAUGAUGCAGAUUGGGCAAGAAGUAAAGAUGAUAGCAAGAGCACUUCGGGCUAUGCAUUUAGCUUUGGAAGUGGAGCAUUCUCCUGGUCUUAUAUGAAACAAAACACAAUAGCAUUAUCAACUUUAGAAGCUGAGUAUGUCUCAGCAUCUGAAGCAACUACUCAGGCCAUUUGGUUACGGUUUGUUCUUGAUGAUUUUGGUAAAAUGCAAGCUAAGGCAACACCCUUGUUCUGUGAUAAUAUGUCAACAAUUUCAAUGGCCAAAAAUCUAGUUUUUCAUCAAAGAACAAGACACAUAAACAUGAAGUAUCAUUUCAUAAGGGAGGCUUUGCAAGAAGGAGUAAUUAAUGUGAAGUUCUGCAGAAGUGAAGAACAACUUGCAGACAUCUUCACAAAAGCACUACCCAGAGACAGAUUCAAGAAACUAAGACUAAAUCUUGGAGUUAAAUCAGUAAACAGCUUAGGAGAUGUUGCUGAAAGCUAAGCUGAUUACUUGUGAUUGAAGUCUUAGAAGAAGACUACGUAGACUGAAGGAAGAAGGAUGAAGAAAUUGAAAAAAUUCUGUUAAAACAGUUAAAGAGUCAGUUAAAAUUGUUAUGACAGUUAUAUCAGUUUUUACUGUUACAAAAACUGUUACAAAUCAUUCUUACAUGUGUAAGAAUCGUGACCCUCCAUUAGUGGAUAGAUGAGAUGAUCUUGAUUCCUAAAAUACCGGAAUCAGUUACAUAUAAUAUAUAUAUAAAAGCAGAGUUUGCUGCAUUGAAAAAUAUAUAGAAAAUACACAAGAAUUUCUUCAUCUUCUCUGCACAUUUAAGCAUAUUCUUCUUCUCAAAACCUUUAAAAAAAUAAACAGGAACUGUGGUGCUGCUCAAGUCAUUGUCAAACAAGUGAGACAAGCAUUAAAGAACUCUAAAACGCGUGGGAAAAUCACUGUAGCAGCUGUGAUUUUUUUUUUUUUUUUUUAUAGAAGGUAGUUUUUUUUUUUUUACAUGUUUUUUUUUUUUUUUUUCCUGUAGCAGUUUUUUAACUAUAGCUUAUUAUUAUUUUUUUUUUUUUGCUUUUGUUUCUUCUUUUUUUUGUUACAUGUUUUUUUUUUUUUUACCUAAAAUUGACUUCUUUGUCUUUGUUUUUUUUCUUUUUUUUAAUUUUUUUUUCAAAAUUAUCUUUACUAAUUUUUUUAAAUAUUAAGCUGGUUAAAAAUUUAACUAUAUAGUUUUUUUCUUUAAAACAUUGUGGAUUGCUAUAAUAUUCUCAUACAUUGGUUUUUUUUCUUUUUAUGAUUUCUUUAGAAGAGCUCGAGACAUAUAUGAAAUAUCAACAUCUAAUCUCUGGUAUUGGAUAAAGCUUUCAGUAUGUGGAGAACAAUCAAACGAGAAUUGACAGGGAAUUGAGUGAUCAUGUUAAAGUUACGGAGCAUGCGAAGAAGAGGCCCACUGAGGCCAGAAAGCGCAGCUGGAGAUAAAAAUGGUCAGGAAAGUAAAGGAGGGAAGAAAAAGCUCUCUCUGGUUCUUCCUCGAACAGUAAGUAGUCUUCUUUUUUUUUUUUACCAAAAUUCCUCUCCUCUGGACUGAUCAUCCACCUCUCAUCGGUUCCAUGCUGUUUUUUUUUUUUUUUUUUUCAUAAUUAUAUGUCCACUGUACUAAAUCACCUCGUUUGAUCCCACAGCUUCACCCCUCGACUUGAUUUCGAAUAUGGUGAAGAUGAGUCAAGGGAUCCUCCUCUAGCAUUGGAUGCUUUGCGAUGUUGAUUUCGAUGGCUUACACAUGCUGUCUGCUCAUAAUUUCUUAUAUUCGUUUCAACAAUAAGAUUACGCCGAGUAAUCUCCAUCCCUCGAAAUCAUAGUAUUGCCCGAGUCAAAAAGCAUGAUUGAUUACCGAGCAAUACUAUCUCGACCACUGCAAAACACACUCUUGAAUUCCUGAAAAGCAGCAUGUCCUCGUGUAGGGCAUUACUACAUGCAUGAAAGUAUUAAGAAACCGGGAUCUUUGAGUAGAUCUUUCAAGUGGGAUAGGACCCACUUAAAAAAAUAGCAAGGCAAAAUUGAGGCCCAUGUGUAAGCAUACAAGGACAUCCAUUAAAGCCCAUGAGUAGAUCUUUCACUAAUUUUUAUUUAUCAAUUUUCCCAUAAAUUAUCUUGAUUUUCCAGUUCCCGUUAAAAUUAUUUAAUGAAAAACGUUAAGUACUUGUAAAAUGAUGCUAUUUUUUUAAUAGAAAAAAAGUGCAAUUUAGAAUAUAUUUUUUAAUAAAAACAUAAUUGAAAAGCCUUAAAGAUGAAUGCAAGUCGUUAACAAAACAAGUAGUUUUUAAAGUUUAAGAGUAAAAUCAGUAUGCAAAAUUAUGUAAUGACAAAAUUAAGACUAUUGAGAGUGUUUCUGAGACUUCGGCUUUUCUUCUUUGAAGCUUCGACGUAAGUGCUUUGGAGGGUGAGAGAAAUGGAGGAGAGAAGGGUUGACUAGCUGUAAACCAAUUAUUGACCCAGAGGGGUUCCUUUUGAGGUCACCAAAUUUCCACGAAAGAGAUGAAAUCACCUAUAAGCCCAAGCUCAAAGGUUACAGAAUGUAAAAAAAGGCAAGCUAAUCGUUGUUCUCUUAUUGAGCAAAAAGCAAAGCAAACAUGGGCAGGAGGACAGCUUCUUGCUCUCUGUUUCUGUUUUUCACUCUUUUCACAACCUUGCAGAGUCCAAUUCUGGCUGCAAAAAAGGCAAGCUAGCAUGCAUUAAUGUUGUCUGAUCGUUUAGUCUUUCAAGUUACAUUUGCAAUCUCUCUUAUGUUAUAAUUCUGCUACUGACAGUGAUACCCGUGUCUGUGUACGUGCAGUCUUAUGUGGUUUACCUUGGGAGACAUUCUUAUGCUUCUGAACCUUCCACCACUGACCUGGAUAGGGUAGCCGAUGCCCAUCAUGAACUUUUGGGUUCUUGUAUGAAGAGGUGGUGAUGCAGUCCUGAAUAUUUCUGCUGUGUGAUCAGUGCUGUAUUUGGUUGUUCUAAUACUGAUGAUUAAGUUUGAACUCGUUAUGACAGCAAGGAGAAGGCGAAACAAGCCAUCUUUUACUCCUACACUCGCUAUAUCAACGGUUUUGCAGCAGUACUUGAAGAUGAAGAAGCAGCUGAGAUUUCAAGUAUAUAUAAUACUAUUAAAAUUGUUCAGCUUGUAUAUCGUGCAAUCCUUGGUACUAUUACAAUUAUGGUCUUGUUAAUACGUUUUCAGAGCAUCCAGAAGUUGUAUCAGUUUCUCGAAACCACAUAAGUCAAUUACACACAACAAAUUCUUGGGGCUUUCUUGGACUGGAAAGAAAUGGAGAAAUUCCAGCUGAUUCUAUGUGGCUAAAGGCAAGAUUUGGCGAAGACGUAAUUAUCGGGACCCUUGAUACUGGUAAUUAUAAUUUUACAUGUCUGUGUACAUGCGUAGAACUGGUCAAGUCUCCUUCAUAUCAUUUCAUCUUCUUAAUUUAAAUGUUUCUUGCAUUCAAUUAUUUUGGACCAGGUACAGCUACAUUGCAUCUGAAAGAAAAAUCUCCAAUGAUGGUAAAUUUUUGAUCUAUUUUUCUUGACUGUGCAUGACGCUAGGUGUUUGGCCGGAAUCCGAAAGCUUCAAUGAUGAAGGGAUGGGGCCUGUUCCAUCUAAAUGGAAGGGAUACUGUGAUCCAAAUGAUGGGAUUAAAUGCAACAGGUACUUUAAUUUCUUUCUCAAGGCCAGAGCACUUUUCUUGACCCGAACUACUCAUUUUGCCUCUGAUAAUGAACCGCAGACAAAUUCUUCUGUUUCCUAUAGUAAGAUCAGUAACAUAAAAGAUAUGUUGUUAUUAGCAGGAAACUUAUAGGAGCAAGGUACUUUAGCAAAGGCUACGAAGCAGAAACACAUGAUUCUUCAAACCACACCGCGCGAGAUUAUGAUGGCCAUGGAACCCACACUCUAUCCACUGCUGGAGGUCGUUUUGUUUCGGGGGCAACCUUCCUUGGUUCAGCUUAUGGAACAGCUAAGGGAGGUUCGCCCAACUCGCGAGUCGCUUCAUACAAGGUCUGCUGGCACGGCUGUAGCGAUGCUGAUGUGUUGGCUGGCUAUGAAGCUGCUAUUCAUGAUGGGGUCGAUAUCCUCUCCGUGUCACUUGGAUCCGAUCCGAGAGAAUACUUUACUCAUGGGAAUGCAAUUGGAGCAUUUCUUGCAAUGGAGAACGGGAUUGUUGUAGUUGCCGCCGCUGGAAAUGAUGGACCUGACCCUGGAGUCGUUGGGAAUGUAGCUCCCUGGAUUCUUACAGUUGCUUGUAGCACUAUCAGUAGGGAGUUCACAUCUAAUGUCAUCCU